rnacentral:rRNA from 1 species
AUUGAACGCUGGCGGCAUGCCUUACACAUGCAAGUCGAACGGUAACAGGUUAAGCUGACGAGUGGCGAACGGGUGAGUAAUAUAUCGGAACGUGCCCAGUCGUGGGGGAUAACGUAGCGAAAGCUACGCUAAUACCGCAUACGAUCUACGGAUGAAAGCGGGGGAUCGCAAGACCUCGCGCGAUUGGAGCGGCCGAUAUCAGAUUAGGUUGUUGGUGAGGUAAAGGCUCACCAAGCCUGCGACCUGUAGCUGGUCUGAGAGGACGACCAGCCACACUGGAACUGAGACACGGUCCAGACUCCUACGGGAGGCAGCAGUGGGGAAUUUUGGACAAUGGACGCAAGUCUGAUCCAGCACUGCCGCGUGCAGGACGAAGGCCUUCGGGUUGUAAACUGCUUUUGUACGGAACGAAACGGCGAGUUCUAAUACAGUUUGCUAAUGACGGUACCGUAAGAAUAAGCACCGGCUAACUACGUGCCAGCCGCCGCAGUAA